rfam:Triticum aestivum genome assembly, contig: Triticum_aestivum_CS42_TGACv1_scaffold_032348_1BL
UGGCUGUAGUCAAACUAACAAGGAAGGAAAUCUGGUCGGCCUGCCCGCUUCAAUGGGCAACCCGCUUACCAACCUUCCUACAUGU